UCUCUCUCCAGGUGAAGUUUGUGCAAGUGUGAGUUAAGAGAUUUGAUGAAAUUAUUCACCCAGAUGUAAGUGUCGGAAAAAAUGAAGACAGGCUAAUUUUGUGAUAAAUCAAAUUUGAAAGAGAGUUGUGGAUGAGAGAGCUGCCCCAUGGCUGGGCUGUUUUUACGUAUACUGGCUGCUUAC
rnacentral:lncRNA from 1 species